GAUGAACGCUAGCGGCGUGCCUAACACAUGCAAGUCGAACGUGAGAGGGUACUUGUAUCCUUGAAAGUGGCGGACGGGUGAGUAAGACGUAGGUGACCUGCCUUGAAGUGGGGGAUAACCAUUGGAAACGAUGGCUAAUACCGCAUAAGCUGGUGACGAUGGGAAUCGUUAUCAGGAAAGCUUUAGUGCUUUGAGAGGGGCCUACGGCCGAUUAGCUAGUUGGUGAGGUAAAGGCUUACCAAGGCGAUUAUCGGUAGCUGGUCUGAGAGGACGAUCAGCCACACGGGAACUGAGACACGGUCCCGACUCCUACGGGGGGCAGCAGUGAGGAAUAUUGGGCAAUGGGCGAAAGCCUGACCCAGCAACGCCGCGUGGAGGAUGAAGGCUUUAGGGUUGUAAACUCCUUUUGUGGGGAAAGAAUGGAUGGUACCCCAAGAAUAAGUCACGGCUAACUACGUG
rnacentral:rRNA from 1 species